rnacentral:rRNA from 1 species
AUACGUAGGUCCCGAGCGUUGCGCGGAGUCACUGGGCGUAAAGCGUCCGCAGCCGGCUCCGUAAGCGGGAUGUCAAAGCCCACGGCUCAACCGUGGAACGGCAUCCUGAACUGCGGAGCCUGAGGCACGCUCAGGCAGGCGGAAUUCCCGGGGUAGCGGUGAAAUGCGUAGAUCUCGGGAGGAACACCGAAGGGGAAGCCAGCCUGCUGGAACUGUCCUGAUGGUCAGGGACGAAAGCCAGGGGAGCGAACCGGAUUAGAUACCCUAGUAGUCC